UACGAAGGGGGCUAGCGUUGCUCGGAAUCACUGGGCGUAAAGCGCACGUAGGCGGCUUAUUAAGUCAGAGGUGAAAUCCUGGAGCUCAACUCCAGAACUGCCUUUGAUACUGGUAAGCUUGAGUUCGGGAGAGGUGAGUGGAACUGCGAGUGUAGAGGUGAAAUUCGUAGAUAUUCGCAAGAACACCAGUGGCGAAGGCGGCUCACUGGCCCGAUACUGACGCUGAGGUGCGAAAGCGUGGGGAGCAAACAGG
rnacentral:rRNA from 1 species